rnacentral:rRNA from 1 species
UGGGGAAUAUUGGACAAUGGGCGCAAGCCUGAUCCAGCCAUACCGCGUGGGUGAAGAAGGCCUUCGGGUUGUAAAGCCCUUUUGUUGGGAAAGAAAUCCAGCUGGUUAAUACCCGGUUGGGAUGACGGUACCCAAAGAAUAAGCACCGGCUAACUUCGUGCCAGCAGCCGCGGUAAUACGAAGGGUGCAAGCGUUACUCGGAAUUACUGGGCGUAAAGCGUGCGUAGGUGGUCGUUUAAGUCUGUUGUGAAAGCCCUGGGCUCAACCUGGGAACUGCAGUGGAAACUGGACGACUAGAGUGUGGUAGAGGGUAGCGGAAUUCCUGGUGUAGCAGUGAAAUGCGUAGAGAUCAGGAGGAACAUCCAUGGCGAAGGCAGCUACCUGGACCAACACUGACACUGAGGCACGAAAGCGUGGGGAGCAAACAGGAUUAGAUACCCUGGUAGUCCACGCCCUAAACGAUGCGAACUGGAUGUUGGGUGCAAUUUGGCACGCAGUAUCGAAGCUAACGCGUUAAGUUCGCCGCCUGGGGAGUACGGUCGCAAGACUG